rnacentral:rRNA from 1 species
UGGGGAAUAUUGGGCAAUGGGCGAAAGCCUGACCCAGCGACGCCGCGUGAGGGAAGAAGGUCUUCGGAUUGUAAACCUUAGUUAGCAGGGAAGAAGAAAGUGACGGUACCUGCAGAGAAAGCCACGGCUAACUGCGUGCCAGCAGCCGCGGUAAUACGUAGGGGGCGAGCGUUGUCCGGAAUGACUGGGCGUAAAGGGCGCGUAGGCGGCUUGAUAAGUUAGAAGUGAAAGUCCUGCUUUCAAGGUGGGAAUUGCUUUUAAUACUGUUGAGCUUGAGUGUAGAAGAGGUAAGCGGAAUUCCAAGUGUAGCGGUGAAAUGCGUAGAGAUUUGGAAGAACACCAGUGGCGAAGGCGGCUUACUGGGCUGUAACUGACGCUGAGGCGCGAAAGCGCGGGGAGCGAACAGGAUUAGAUACCCUGGUAGU